UAAAAUUUUCAGCCAAACAGCAACCUGCUGGUAGCCGUUUGUCCCGCCCACUUGCUCUGGUCUCGUCGGGAGCAAGACGCAACACAGGGUACGAGAAGAGUUUCCCGCCGGUAAAACAAAAGAAGAAGAAGAAGAAGAAGAAGAAGAAGAAGAAGAAGAAGAGAAGAGUAGGUGCGGAGAGAGAGAGAGAGAGAGAGAGAGAGAGAGAGAGACUGUGGUGUGCGGAGCCGUGUGGACAUCGAAAAGCGAGAAGCAGGAAAAAUAGAGGACAGCAGAGAAAUAAUACUCGAAACGGAGUUUAUUGAGGCCGAUAGGAGUGCUACCGAAGCGGUCGCUAAGGGACAAUAAAUAUUAGAAAGUCCGUUCCGUCCGUGUUAAGCUGCUAGCUGGUUGCUAACGCUAGCUUGGACUUGUUGGGAAUUUCCAUUUUUCUUCAAGAAGCGAGAUUGCUCGCAUGGCUCUAGUACAAGGCACCAAGUCCGACUCCAUGAUAAGGAGAAUGAUGUCAUCUGCUCUAACCAACGCUGUGGCCUCUUAAUUCAACUGGGCAGGGAAGAAGGACAAACGCUGUACAGCCAAGAAGCCAUUCAAGGAAAUACUCAUGCAAGACUACAUGUUUGCCCGAGAGGACCAGCCAAUAACAAAAUGGACACUCAACACUUUCGGCAAGAUCUCGAGAUCGCUGGCUGCUGUUCGGCAGUUUGACUGCAGAUUGACACACCAGGUCUUCAGCGAUAUUGUGAAGAAGUGGCUGUGAGAUGCUCUAUAUCGGCAGGGAGGCAUCAAGCCUAAUAAAACGUAGGCUCCACCACACACGUGUUCCUUAAAACCUGUAAAAGGUUUACAGGUUCAUUGACAAUAGACUGUU